UGGGAGAAAGAUGUCCUUCUGGGAGACAGCUCCGUGACUUCAUUCUCAGCUGACUUCCUUGAGGUAGCAAUGAAAUCCGUGGUGCUUUGCUUUCCCUUGUCUUCUGGCAUCUGCAGCCCCAGUGGCCUUGGGAUCAAGGAUGAGUCUUUUCAUUUUAAAAAGGGACAGGUGAGCUCACCUUUUUGUUUGUGGGUUGGGGAAAGAAAGCCAUGUGCCUGUUUUCAUGGAUUCGCAGCUGAAGCCGUAUUGAGGACGGGAAAGCAAACGCCUCUCUAUUUCUUUUUCUCUUGUGCAGGUUCCCUCCACAAACACUACGUGUUCUGCUGGUGUAAAGAGAGGAGGAAGGCUCCGUGGUGGUGAUCAGGUUCUGUGAAUCUGCUUCUGACAGCUGCGAACAGCCAAGUAAAAGGUCUCCAAUAACUUUCCCUGUGAACUGAACCAUUUCCUCUGGACAGCAUGCUGGAGAAGUAGAGUCCCUCUGCGUGCUUACUUCAUGUGUACUGCCCAUGGCUGCUGCUCUGCCUAACUGGGAACCAUCUCCCGAUUGUGGUGUGCAACAGCACAUCUUGGACUUACCAAUUCUACGAGAGUUAAAAAUUAAACCAGCUAAUCAAUAUCUGAAGCAGUACUGGAUUUAAGAGACUAACAAGUGGUCCAGCCUUGAGUUAAUUCAUUAUAAAUUUCUCUAGAAGAGCUUGUUGAAAGGAAACGUGAAACAGCUGGAAGGAAACAUCCUUAUAGUGAAUGCCAAAGUCAUUUGCAUCCAGUGGACUGGGAGACUCAAGGCUUUGGACAGACGAUGUGGGUGAAAGAAAUAAAAAUCUGAAUACAGAGGAGAAAGCACCAGUUCCCACUGAGUGAUUACAGAGGAAACAAUCUUACCGCUAUAGGGACCUAAUUAGAGACUCAGUCUCACAACAGCCUAAUAACUCCUCCAGGACGGUGAGAAACCCAAAUGAGCUACAACAGUCUGUUCAGGCCUGCAGAGUUUGGAAGCUCUGCCACAUCGGAGAGUGCAGCCCUGGGCUCCCACUGCCUUGGACCGCAGCCUCCUGAAGGAAUUGCUUCCAGCACACAUUUUCCCAGGCAAAUAUAAUAGUUAAUUAUCAACAUUAACAAGUUUAAAAACGUCUUGGACCUGCAAACUGAGCAGAGUUACGCUGUGUAACACAGGGACUCGCAGGUCUCCUGCUUCUGUCCCAUUCCUGUUGUUUCACCCCAAUUGCUGAGACCAUAGAACCUCGGGGCAGGGACUGGCUCUCAUUGCAAACCUACACUAAAAACCUUCUCAAGUCUCUUUUUGAAGAAUUCCUUAGGCCCAGGCUGAGCAGUCCUCACUGGAAUUAGCGAUUUUCUGCCUCCGUUUUUAAGCUGCAAGCUCUGUGGGAGGAGGAUUGAAAGUCUUGUAGCUGCAGAGAGCACCUAGGUUGUGUGGGGCCCCAGUGAAACACACAGAUGUAAUUAAUGACUGUGGAGGUCUUCCCACAGGCGCUGAGAGCCAGAAGAGCCAGCUCAGCUCCCAGGUCCUCGAGGACUGUCAAGAAAAGAAAGAGCACCCCAAGGAUGUUGACCCCAGAGUGGAAGUUUUCAGCACAUGGCCUGCCUCCAGGAGCUCAGGAGGUGGGUUAGAGAGGAGGCUUCUUGUUGGCAGGCAGCAACCCAAGGGAUCUGCUGUGCAACCAGCAGCGCCACAGGGGCUCGAGGGGUGGGAGGAGAAUAUACAAAUGUCAGGAGGGAUCCCUGACCUCCAGAAACACCAGUAACCAGUGUGUCACCUCGUGAAGACAUGGGUUUGGAGGGCAACCACCCUUCAGCUUACUGUUUGUGAUGUAUUCAUCUGCGCUAUACUCCUGCGUCAGACUCUCCUUGGCCCUCUGUCUUCUAUGAGGUAAAAUAAAGAAUUGGCAGAGAA